UCCCUGGUAGUAUAUCGGUUAGUACACGCGCCUGUCAUAACAUCUGAUUUGCUCAGGGUAUGCGCGCGAAAGCUGGGUUCGACUCCCAGCCAGGGAG